CUGGCUGAGAGGGGACAUGGUCUAGACAUGCUGUGUUUAUUCCAGGAAACCAUAUAAUGAUGUUUCACAUGGCGACUUUAUAUAAAUUCAAGCUUACUGUCAAAGGAUUCCCAGGCAGGAGAGAUUUUAUGUGAUGGCAGAGAAGGCGACUUCAACAGAACAAAAUAAGCCGGUGACAGGAAAACUGAGACUGCCACCUCCUCAGCCUGCGGUGGCAAAGAACUGGCACAGUCAAGAGGAUCGGGAGAGAAAAGAAGAGGAUGGAGUCUGGUCUUCCCUGCGGGUUCCUUGGAGAAACAGUCUCCAUCUGCUCAUCUGGGCCCUAUCUGACAGUCAACAGACUUUACCAUUUCCUUCUAUACUCUACUGUACAUGACUCUGAGGAAGGCAAAACUCGAGGGCACACCCAGAGGGAGCGUGGAUCUGAUGAAAAGCAAAGCGAGAUAAGGACUUUCCAGAAAUGACUCAACACAUGCAAAUAUGAGCUUUCGGAUGUUCCUCCUACUCCCUGCAGCCAUGCUCUCCACAGUCAUUAAAACCUCUCUCUCAUUUACUAUGUGAUGAAGGGCUACUUACACCGACUUCAAGUGCUCGUCAUUAACUCCCAUUCCAAGUUUCGGACUCACAUUUAAAAGGUUUUGGUUGGAAGUAAUAAACUGACAAAAAAUGUGUUUUCUGUCACUUUGUUGAGCAGCAGGAGAAUAAGGAAGAAAUGUCAGUCACAUUUGUCAAAUGAUGUCAAGAUUAUUCUAUAAAGUCUGAAAUUAAUCAUUUCUUGAACAGAUGGGAUCAUAUUAUGCAAGAAUUACUAAAAUUUGCAGUAUCACUGUUGAGGUUAUUUUACAGCUUAUGAUUAAGCAGAUGAAACAUAUGGAAUAACAGCAGUGCCAUUAUCUAGUUAUCUUGCCCUACAUAUCAGACAAACAACUGCCCUUCUACUUGUCUGUGCUCUAUGGUGCUGAGUGCUACAAAAGAUGACCGGGAGAUUAGGAUUGGACCAAACUGUUGGCUGAAACUUAAGCUUAUAUCCAGCAUUUCAUAUCAGAUGUUGACACCCUGUACUGUCCCUUAUGGAUAUAAUGAGUGCUUGUUACAACUAUUCUUGGCUCACAUUUAGUCAAAAACUCAGUCUAGAACAAAUUGCCUCUAGGGAGUGUAUAAAACCAAAAUACCUGUCAUGUUACAGGGACUGUAUGUAAUUACCUCUGUGUAAUUAUCUGUGUGUAAUUACCUCUUCUUAUUAGGUUACAAUAAUCUAUUAAAAAUUCA